UCCACACCCGACAAUGCAGCCUUCUGAGCCACCUCACUCAUACAGACCUGGGAGGAACUCUUGACUCUCCAGCUCCAUACUUCAGGGGCUUGAACAAACCACCAGGCCUGAGACCCAGUCCCCUCCAUUGUCAAACAGGACUGCAACAAAAGUGUCCGGGAGAUGGAACAUUUCUCCUCAGGGGACUUCCAGAGCCACCAUUACACACUGCAAUCUCUUCCACAUAAGUCAAAUAGGACACUGGUGUGAUUUUUAACGCCUCGGAAAAUCCAGCCCAAGCCGCACCCAGGGCCCAGGAGGGCACUGAGUGAAGACAUGCAGUCCUUCCUUUCUCUAGCUUAGUGUUUCUCAACCUUCCUAACGCCGCCACCCAUUAGUGCAGUCCCUCACGUUGUGAGGACCCUAAUUACAAAAUUAUCGCCUUGCUA